rnacentral:sRNA from 1 species
GUGAAUUCGCCAGCGGGAGCGCGCUCGCGGACGCGCGUUCUCCGCUUUCCCGGCUCCGUCGCUGACGCGUCGUAGACGUUGGGGAGCGGGAAGGCAACGGCAGCGGGAUCGGGAUGAACAGCGGCGGCGGCUUCGGUUUGGGCUUAGGCUUCGGCCUCACCCCCACGUCGGUGAUUCAGGUGACGAAUCUGUCGUCGGCGGUGACCAGCGAGCAGAUGCGGACGCUUUUUUCCUUCCUAGGAGAAAUCGAGGAGCUGCGGCUCUACCCCCCGGACAACGCACCUCUUGCUUUUUCCUCCAAAGUAUGUUAUGUUAAGUUUCGUGAUCCAUCAAGUGUUGGCGUGGCCCAGCAUCUAACUAACACGGUUUUUAUUGACAGAGCUCUGAUAGUUGUUCCUUGUGCAGAAGGUUGGUAUCUCGCUUUUUUUCCUCUUAUUUGAAUUUCUGUCCUGUCUGUUAUUGCCUUUAGCUUUCCUAGAGAUUGGCAAGUAGACAGUACUCUUGAUGCGUGUGUGAAAGUAAGAAUGAAAUUUGG